AUUGAACGCUGGCGGCAUGCUUUACACAUGCAAGUCGAACGGCAGCGCGGGCUUCGGCCUCGCGUCGAGUGGCGAACGGGUGGGUAAUGCAUCGGAACGUGCCCAGUAGUGGGGGAUAGCCGGGCGAAAGCCGGAUUAAUACCGCAUACGCCCUUAGGGUGAACGCGGGGGACCGAAAGACCUCGCGCUAUUGGACCGGCCGAUGUCGGAUUAGCUGGUUGGUGGGUAAAGGCUUACCAAGGCGACGAUCCGUAGCUGGUCUGAGAGGACGACCAGCCACACUGGGACUGAGACACGGCCCAGACUCCUACGGGAGGCAGCAGUGGGGAAUAUUGGACAAUGGGGGCAAGCCUGAUCCAGCCAUGCCGCGUGCGGGAAGAAGGCCUUCGGGUUGUAAACCGCUUUUGUUCGGGAAGAAAUCCUCUGGGCUAAUACCCCGGGGGGAUGACGGUACCGGAAGAAUAAGCACCGGCUAACUACGUG
rnacentral:rRNA from 1 species